GAAUACUAUUGUAUUUUAUCUAGCGGUCGCACUAUGAGCGCUAACGUCCAUAGUGGAGAGGGAAACAACCCAGACUUCAAGAUAAGGCCCUUAAAUUCAAGCUAAGUGUGAAAGGUUGUGUGCGCCCUAUGACAAUUGGGAUGUAGGCUCAGAAGCAGCCAUCAUUUAAAGAUAGCGUAACAGCUCACUAAUCUGAGGGCGCCUAGCACCGAAAAUGUAUCGGGACUAAAGCUUGAUGCCGAAGCUGAAGGUGGUGCCAAAUCUUCGGCACUGCGGUAGCAGAGCGUUCCAUAGGCCGUUGAAGAUCUGCUAUGAGGUAGAUUUGAGGCAUUGGAAGCGAUAAUGUUGACAUGAGUAAUUAAAAUGAAAGUGGAAACCUUUCACGCUGAAAGACUAAGGCCUCCUAUUUAAAGUAAUCUGAAUAGGGCUAGCCGGCUCCUAAGGCCAAGCGAAACCGCGUAACCGAUGGUAAUCACGUUAAUAUUCGUGAGCCAGGCUGUAGAUGACUUAGUGAAUUGUUAUGUCAAACUUGAAUGGAUUUAAUUUGGCAUUAUAUUCGCUAACAAGAAAUAGUCUGUGGUUUUAAUGGCCGUACCGUAAACCGAAACAGGUGGUCUGGUAGAACAUACUAAGGCGAAGAGCUAAUUAUGCUGAAGGAACUCGGCAAACUGCAUGUGUAACCUCGGGAUAAGCAUGGCCAUUGUCUGGGCAACCUGAUAUUGGCAUAAUACAAAUGGAGGGAGCGACUGUUUAUCAAAAACACAGGACUCUGCUAAAUUGUAAGAUGAUGUAUAGAGUCUGACGCCUGCCCAGUGCUGACAAGUGAACUGUUGAAUGUAUUCUAGCGUUCAAAUAUAAGCCUCAGUAAACGGCGGCCGUAACUAUAACGGUCCAAAGGUAGCGAAACCCCUUGUCGGGUAAGUUCCGACCUGCAUGAAUGGCGUAACGACUUCCUCGCUGUCUCCAGCAUAAGCUCAAUGAAAUUGAAUUCCCCGUGAAGAUGCGGGGUACCUACGGCAAGACGGAAAGACCCCGUGCACCUUCACUAUAGCCUUGUAUUGCUGUAUUUUUAUUAAAGCCAUAUAGCGUAAAUGAUAAGCAAUGAAUGUUAAGCGCUAGUUUAACCUGAGCUGUUAAUGAAACAUCGUUUGGCUAAUAAAUAUCGUCUUAUUAUAUUCAUGUCAAUCUUGAUAUAAAACCGUGCAAGGCAGGUAGUUUGACUGGGGCGGUCGCCUCCCAAAGAGUAACGGAGGCGUGCAAAGGUAAACUCAAAACGGUUGGAAAUCGUUUGCAGAGCGCAAUGGCAUAUGUUUGCCUGACUGUGAGACAUACAUGUCAAGCAGAGACGUAAGUCGGCCAUAGUGACCAGAUAGUACCAUGUGGAAGGGCUAUCGAUUAACGGAUAAAAGGUACGCCGGGGAUAACAGGCUAAUAAUUCCUAAGAGUUCUUAUCGAUGGAAUUGCUUGGCACCUCGAUGUCGACUCAUCGCAUCCUGGGGCUGAAGCAGGUCCCAAGGGUAUGGCUGUUCGCCAUUUAAAGCGGUACGUGAGUUGGGUUCAGAACGUCGCAAGACAGUUCGGUCCCUAUCUGCCGUGGGUGUGUAAGAAUAUUGACAAGACCUGUCUCUAGUACGAGAGGACUGAGAUGGACAUACCAAUGGUGUUCCUGUUGUCUUGCCAAAGGCAUAGCAGGGUAGCUAAGUAUGGAAUAGAUAACUACUGAAAGCAUCUGAAGUAGGAAACUAGCUUGGAAAAAUAUUCUAUUUAAAGAUAGCGAUAGACUAUCGCUUUGAUAGGCUAGAUGUGGAAAUAUGGUAACAUAUGCAGCUUACUAGUACUAAUUAUUCUUUUAAAAAAGUGAU
rnacentral:rRNA from 1 species